ACUCUAAGGAGGACUGCCCGGUGGACAAAACCCGGAGGGAAAGGUGGGGGAUGACGUCAAGUCAUCAUGGCCCUUACGGCCUGGGCUACACACGUGCUACAAUGGUCGGUACAAAGGGUUGCCAAGCCGCGAGGUGGAGCUAAUCCCAUAAAACCGAUCGUAGUCCGGAUCGCAGUCUGCAACUCGACUGCGUGAAGUCGGAAUCGCUAGUAAUCGUGAAUCAGAAUGUCACGGUCGAAUACGUUCCCGGGCCUU
rnacentral:rRNA from 1 species